rnacentral:rRNA from 1 species
CCAACGGGGGCAUUGCCUUAGUAGCGGCGAGUGAAGCGGCAAAAGCUCAAAUUUGAAAUCUGGCACCUUCGGUGUCCGAGUUGUAAUUUGAAGAUUGUAACCUUGGGGUUGGCUCUUGUCUAUGUUUCUUGGAACAGGACGUCACAGAGGGUGAGAAUCCCGUGCGAUGAGAUGCCCAAUCCUAUGUAAGGUGCUUUCGAAGAGUCGAGUUGUUUGGGAAUGCAGCUCUAAGUGGGUGGUAAAUUCCAUCUAAAGCUAAAUAUUGGCGAGAGACCGAUAGCGAACAAGUACAGUGAUGGAAAGAUGAAAAGAACUUUGAAAAGAGAGUGAAAAAGUACGUGAAAUUGUUGAAAGGGAAGGGUUUGAGAUCAGACUCGAUAUUUUGUGAGCCUUGCCUUCGUGGCGGGGUGACCCGCAGCUUAUCGGGCCAGCAUCGGUUUGGGCGGUAGGAUAAUGGCGUAGGAAUGUGACUUUGCUUCGGUGAAGUGUUAUAGCCUGCGUUGAUGCUGCCUGCCUAGACCGAGGACUGCGAUUUUAUCAAGGAUGCUGGCAUAAUGAUCCCAAACCGCCCGUCUUGAAACACGGGACCCA